rnacentral:rRNA from 1 species
UACGGAGGAGGCAAGCGUUAUCCGGAAUUAUUGGGCGUAAAGCGUCCGCAGGUGGCCCUUCAAGUCUGUCGUCAAAGCCUGGGGCUUAACCCUGGAAAGGCGGUGGAAACUGAAGCGCUAGAGUGCGGUAGGGGUAGAGGGAAUUCCCGGUGUAGUGGUGAAAUGCGUAGAGAUCGGCAGGAACACCCGUGGCGCAAGCGGCCACCUAGCCCAAGCCUGACGCUGAGGCGCGACAGCGUGGGGAGCGAACGGG